rnacentral:rRNA from 1 species
UGGGGAAUAUUGGACAAUGGGGGCAACCCUGAUCCAGCGACGCCGCGUGGGUGAAGAAGGCCUGCGGGUUGUAAAGCCCUUUCGGUUGGGAAGAAAAGUUGCGACCUAACACGUUGCGACCUUGACGUAACCAACUAAAGAAGCACCGGCUAACUCUGUGCCAGCAGCCGCGGUAAUACAGAGGGUGCGAGCGUUAAUCGGAAUUACUGGGCGUAAAGCGCGCGUAGGCGGCUUUUCAAGUCGAUUGUGAAAUCCCCGGGCUUAACCUGGGAACUGCAGUCGAGACUGUCUAGCUAGAGUAUGGGAGAGGGAAGUGGAAUUUCAGGUGUAGCGGUGAAAUGCGUAGAUAUCUGAAGGAACAUCAGUGGCGAAAGCGACUUCCUGGACCAAUACUGACGCUCAUGUGCGAAAGCGUGGGGAGCAAACAG